UGAAACACAGACCCGUUUAUAUCCCGUGUACCAAUGACUAUACACCAACAUUUACACACGCACGUGUAACGAGUAUUAAUACUCGUUUAUAUGUAUUUCACCCAAAUCCUUCUGUUAGUUUUUUAUUUUUUACGUAUCCGUGGAGAGUAUCGAUUGCUCUGUGGUGUAUUGCUCUGGCCUGCGGGACAAUCCAGUCAGCAGCGCGCGGUUUUUACUCCUCAGUCUGUCUUUGGCUCUACUGAGGAGAGGUAUGUGUUUGCGUAUGCGCCAAUGUACAUAUAAUAUAAACGUUUAGAACAAGUGAAACUUUAUGUAAAUAUGUUAGAAUGUAUUCCAGCAUUGUUGUGUUGCUAACGAAUUGAUUGUGAUGAAAUAGUAAUUUGUUAAGAGUUUUCUUUACCGAGUGUUGCAAUGUUAGGCUAGAUAGUUUCAGUACAUGCUAGCAGGGUGUCUGUAGCUUCCCACGUGUAAGCACUCGCUCACUUUACUUUUCCUCAUGUCAGGUGUGCACUGCGUGCAACAUAGAGAAGCUCAUCACCAUUCAUUCCAUUGUAUUCACUGCAUUUAUUUCAUCUAAUUCAGGUAUGUUAAUCCACAGUUGUAUUAUUGUAUAUUGCAUUUAUUUGGCUGAGUUGCCAUUAUUUACAAUAUAGCCGGUGGUCUUUUAAUGUAAUGUGUUUGAUACAAAAAUGUAUUUAUUUUUAUAAUCUGGUACUUUUAUCUGAACGAUUUAUUUUAUUUAUAAAUAUAUUAUUAUUUCUUAUUGAUUUAUUAGGGGCAAUUCCUUUUGUCAUAGUUUCCUUUUAAAAUGUUAAAUCUUUGCAGCAGGAAUAUAUAUUUUUCUAUACACUGUAAGAAUGUUAUUAGUUUUAAGUAAUGGUCAAUGAAGUAGCUGUAUUAUUGUAUUAUCAAUUGAAUCCAGCUCAGUCUGUCUUUGGCUCUACUGAGGAGAGGUGUGCACUGCGUGCAACAUAGAGAAGCUCAUCACCAUUCAUUCCAUUGUAUUCACUGCAUUUAUUUAAUCUAAUUCAGAAUAAAAGACCAGAAACCGGCCACCAGUGUCCAGAGUCCUGUUCAUUAUCCAUACACCAGAACACAACGCAGAAUCGUAGUCAGACGGGCUACACACGCAACACCCAACACAUAAUAUGCACACAGGGGCGGGGCACAUUGCCACAGGGCGUCUGCUAAGAAAUAAAUAAUAAUAAUAAUAAUAAUAAUAAUAAUAAUAAUAAUAAUAAUAAUUAUAACGACCCAGGCAAUGGCAUCGUUGCAGGACUGUUUGUCUGUCGUUUGUUUGUCUUGUCCUAUCCUACUCGGAGAAAGCAUCCUUGAGGAGGUUCAGAAGCAUUUAAACUAGAAAGGAAGGGGGGAGAAAACAAAAAAACAGAAGGGAGACCACAUCAAAACAAGGGCAACAACUCAGACAAAUAUUGGAUUAAAUCCAUUGAAGAUUCGCUAAAGAGAGAGGUGGACCCAAACAUCAUCUGAAGAGUGAACCUGUUUAAAACCAAAUCUGAAGAAGAUUUCAUCCACGAAGUCUUAGAAGAACUUAGUUGUAAUGGAGAUGGAUUCUUUACAGCAAGACAUCAAGCUAAAAACUCGGUAUAUUAUAGAUGUGAAAGAGCAAAUAAACCUAAAGGAAAACCACUUGGAAUUCCCUGGAAAACAAGAGCCAACGGUUGUAGGGCAUAUGUUAGUUUUAAUUUCAGAAGUGACUCUGCUUUCAAAGGAUGUGUUGUUCGUAUUCAGCCCAUUCAUAAUGGGCAUGAUCUUAAAGACCCUUAUCAGCAAAAAGUCAACAAAGUACAUCAUGAAAUUCUCAGGUUAAUUGAAACAUAUUUGGCUCAAGAUCUUCUACCAACUGAUAUAGCUGUUAGGGCAGCAGACUGGGCAAAACAGCAAGGUUUUGACGAUUUGUGUGACCGUAGAUAUUUUGUCACACCCCACGAUGUGAAAGUGAUUAAAGAACCACAUCUGGAUAAUGAUGAUUCUUCUAGCGUAGAUAAACUUCUCAAAACAGAUCUUAAAGACCACGUGUAGUUCUAUCAGCCUUUAGCUCGCAGUGUUUCACAACCACUCAUGAUCAUCCCAUCCAUGGAGUGGCAGCAUCAACAGCUACAGAAACAUGGGAAAGACAUUGUUUUUUAGAUGCUACAUAUAAAGGCAUGACUGCAUAUUCAUUUGCAUUGUAUGCCGUGAUUGUUAGGAAUAAAGCAGGUCGUGGUGUACCUGUUGCAUACUUUAUUUCAAGUGAAGAAAACAAUCCAAAUCUUAGAUUGUGUCUUCAGGUGAAAGAUGCCCUAAAUGAGUUCACACAAAGGUAAUUGUUUUUAAUUAGUCAUUUAUCAGGUGCUAUUAUCCAAGAGAUUAGGGGUGAACUAUACAUCAACAACUGCUGAUGCAGAGUGACUCACUUUUAUGUUUCAUCUUUCAGUUAUUCAAUGCCUUUGAGCACUAAGGCCUGGCCCAAAUCAAAGCUUUGACCCACCCGCUAAUCACAAAUUACAAACCUGGUACUGAUGUCAGAAGGUUAUUCCUUCUACCCCAGAGGGAACCCGCCAUUAAUACUGGGUUUAUGAUUUGCGAAAGGUUUUAUUUGGUCUAGGCCAAUGGUUGUUUCCUUACAAAAUAGGGGGAAAACUAAUAUUACUAAUUUGAACUAAUUCUCUUACAGAUGUAUAAUGAUAGACAAGGACAUGAAGGAAAUUAAUGCUGUGAGAGAUGUUUGCCCAAAUGCUGUCAUCCUGCUCUGUUGGUUUCAUGUAUUCAUAAGGUUUUAUUCCUAUUAGUGACUUUUACCUGUAAUGUAAACCCGGGGAGAGAUGAGCACAUACAUUUACUGAGACGCUUAUUUUACAGGCUGUCCAUAGAUGGUUGGUCCGGAAGGAUGGAGGGGACUUGAAUGUUUCACAGAGGAAUAGUCAUCAGGUCCAUGAUUUAAGUUGAAGCAAUGUACUACAGUAAGUAUGUUAUUUUAGUACUGUGUGUGUUUUUAUUGUAAGCUGCAGUAUUUUAAGAUGUAUAUGUGUAAGUUGGAUUGUAUGUCAUAUUUUAACAAAAUGUAUGUUCCUUGAAUUGUGCUCUUAACACAAAGGUUGACUUAAAAAAGGUAUAUACAUUAUUAUUAUUUAUUUCUUAGCAGACACCCUUAUCCAGGGCGACUUACAAUUGUUAGAAGAUAUAAAAUUAUUGUAAAAAAACAUUUUUUACAUACAAUUAACCAUUUAUACAGUUGGGUUUUUUUUACUGGAGCAAUCUAGGUAAAGUACCUUGCUCAAGGGUACAGCAGAAGUGUCCCCCACCUGGGAUUGAACCCACGACCCUCCAGCCAACAGUACAGAGCCCUAACCACUACUCCACACUGCUGGCCAUAAUUAUAUAUAUAUAUAUAUAUAUAUAUAUAUAUAUAUACAUACAUACACACACACACAAAAACGUGUGUUUUAUUUUAAUUAUCCCUGGCCUCUAAUUAAUUUAAAAUAAACAUUACUUGAUUGAGAAUCAUUCUGUAUCACCUUGUGACAAACCCGGAGGUGAAAUGAUAAGUUUUUUAAUGCUUUUCAUUUUCAUUUUCAACACAAAACGACAACGCUUAAACUUGCCUUCCAGGCAGCUAUGGACUGCACUGACUGUAACCUACAUGUAAGCUACCGGUAUGUAAUGCAAUGAUCUGCUUGCUGAAGUCAACGUUCAAACUUCUUUAUGAAGGUUAUGCUCAAUAUUUUUUAGCGGUAUGACAAUCAAUAGCAUAACCGAAUGUUAUGCAAUUUACUUAAUCUUAUACGCAAUUUGCUUAGCCUUAACCCUGUAACUAUAAAAACAGCGAACAUGCAUUUCACGAAAAUCGCCCUUUUUUAACAUUUUGGUCUAAACACAAUGCAUUUCAACGAUGAUUUAAUUUAAUAUAAAGACAGUGCUCGAGGCUAUUAUAGAAAAACAAAUACAAAUCUAACUUUAAAUAUACUCAUUUAUAAAUACUAAAACAAAUAAAAAUGUAACUUUAAAUAUACUCAUUUAUAAAUACUAAAACAAAUAAAAAUGUAACUUUAAAUAUACUCAUUUAUAAAUACCAAAACAAAUAAAAAUUAACUUUAAAUAUACUCGUUUAUAACUACUGUAUGUAUGUACAUACGUCCGGGCUUAAAACACACCUUUUUGUAAAUUUAAGAGCACCCUUACUUACCAUUCCUAAAUUUAAACUAUCCAACUUCAAACUAUCGAAUACCGAGAGGAAAUGGCGUUGCUGUAGGAGUGGCAGGGCGGGCUUAGAUGUGUGACAUCAGUAAAAGUUGUGCUCUUUUGUUGUUAUCUGCCUGUGAGGCGGGGCUGCCUGACAGGUGCUUUUGGUUAUUAUUAUUAUUAUUAUUAUUAUUAUUAUUAUUAUUAUUAUUAUUAUUUGUUUAUUUAGCAGACAUCUUUAUCCAAGGCGACUUACAGAGACUAGGGUGUGUGAACUAUGCAUCAGCUGCAGAGUCACAACUACGUAUGCAAAUUCCUGCCUCUUGCAUGCUUCCCCCACAAGACAAACACCUCCUAUGUGUCAAGUGCUUCAAGAUGCAGUACGCCUGCUCCGCCUUAGGAGACAAGACGUUCUGUUCGAUCUGCGCAGUGUCCCAGCCUCGGACUCUGCGCAGGAGGUUUGCAGAGUUCACAGGAGGGACUUCCUCAGCCAGCUCAGCUGAGCCCUCUGCAGCAUUGGGAGCCCCCCCUCCUCCACCUGCCUUCCAGCCCAUCACAGAGUAUACCCUGUGCGCAGGAUUCAGCCCACCGAGCUCGCAGCCGCUCACGGUCUCCCUCGAGGAGCAAUAAAAGGGCAAGGCACAGUAAGCAGGCCAAGGAUAUCUCUGACCUAAAGAGCCAGAUGGCCCAGGUCCUUGAGUAUUUGGUCAGGUAGCAGGAUGUUCCCCCUGCUCCUGCCCCAGCUCUGCCUCCGACACCUGCUCAGGCACUGACCCCACCUUCACGGACGUCUCGGACCGAGACGAGGUGAUGAGCGAGGAGGACCAGGACGCAAUCUCGAUUGCGGCUUCCUGGGACGGGGACUCUUUAGAGCAGCAGGAGACACAGGUCCAGAAAGUGACCCAGGAGAUGGGCCCCAGCUCCGAGGUGGCCUCAAAGACUGGUGUUACCCCUCCAUCAAGCUCAAGCUCAAAUUUCCUCCAGGUCCCCUGGAAGGCAGAGCCAGAACAGCGCAGUUCUGUGUUCAGACCGACGCAAGCUUUGACCCCACCAGCCUUUCCCGGUGUUCCCAAAUUUUCUGGAGGAGGUACAAUCUUCCUGGCACCGACCGACCUUGGCGCCAAGCAUCUCAAAACGUGCAACCCUGCUGGCCUCCUUGGAAGGUGCGGGGACGCUGGGACUGGCACAAUUCCUGUCGGAGGAUUCCACCAUAGCGGCUCUGGAGCUCCUUCGGUAGGAGGUUUAGCCAAGGAACCUGUAUGCCCUAACGGCCAAUGCAGGAUCACAGAGGCCCACCUCAAAAAGCGUACGCAGCCGAAGCGCAGGAAUCCUGUGAUCGGCGCCUCUCCCUGAGCCUGUAGCCUUAGAGCUGCGCUUGGUAUCCGGUAUGCUGCUACAAAUUUCAGGCUCCCAAGCGCAGGCCCUGGGCAGAAGCCUGGCGGGUCUUGAAGUGGCAUGCAGACAGCUCAGGCUGUCACAGGCCAGGGUCCCAGAUGCGGAAGGAGCCCCUUUUAGACAUGCCUAUCUUCCCUGGACAUACCUUCAGGCCGGCGGUGGAGGAGAUACUGCAACGCUCCCACCGAGAGCGGGAGGCGUCUCGACAGGUGGCUGCGAUGCUCCCUUCCCUUGCUCCUGUAUGGGAUAGGAUGAAGGGCUGGCGUCCACCCGUAACUACAGUUACCUGGACAGUUCCAAGCUUCAUUACUUUAGCUAAUGUUAUGUGACUGCUACAUUAUACAAAUUACAGUUUUUCCCAAUUGUUUACACACUAAAAUUGGAACUUGAAACGCAAUCACCGAAACCUGAAACUCAUGUACCAAAUCCCUAAACCAAGUCUGCAAAAUUGCAAGCACAAUUCCUGCUUUACACUCAGUUUCCAAUUCUAUAUCACACUUUUUGCAAAACACUACACACAGUUUUCUACAUUAGGCACAACAUUCAAAAUUAAAAUCUCUGUAUCCCUUUGGAAAGCAACGCCAAUCACAAUGCCAAGCUCUAUACACCAAUUGGCAACACCCACUCCUCACAGGUGUAAACACUAGUUGCUGAAUUGUUCACUUAAAAAUCAGAGCUUUAGCACUAGAAAAGGCCACAGAUGAGCUCUCCUGUUUUGGAGGAAAAUGGAAGUCAACAGUGAAGCAAGAGCUAGAGGUCAAGGAGUGAGAGUAAGAGGAGGAAGAGGAGGAUGAGGGCGAGGAAGGACAGUUGUCUCAGAUGAGAUCAGGGCCACAUUGGUUGACCAUGUGCUCAACCAUGGAUUGAGUACGAGGGAGGCUGGGAAGAGAGUUCAGCCCAACCUGAGCCGCUACACGGUUGCAUCUGUCAUCCAUACAUUCAGAAAUGAGAACCGGUAAGUUACCUACCAUCUACACUAUGCUCUUUAUGUAUGUAUACUGUAGUAUACUGCAGUCCGACAUAUCAGUAGGCCUAUGUUACUCAGUGAUUGUUGGCCAAUGUUACAGUAAUGUCAUCUCAUAUUGAAAGAAAAUAGAUUAUUUUAGCUUACUGUAACCAAUCAUAUCAUAUUUGUGGAUCUUCUGCAGAAGUGAGAGACAGCCAGGCCAUGGUGGAAGACACCGGCUGUUCACACCAGAACAGGAGACCGCUAUUGUGAACAUGGUGGUGGCAAACAAUACCAUUAGACUAAGAGAAAUCCAGAACCACAUAAUUGCAGACAACACAAUACUCAAUAACAUUCACCAGGUGGGCUUGUCUACAUUGGACCGUGUAUUACAGCGCAACCGAAUCCGGAUGAAACAGGUCUACAGGGUGCCAUUUGAGCGAAACUCAGGGUUAAAGAACAGCGCUAUGAAUAUGUGCAAAGAGUCUUGGAGCUGGAUGCCGCUGCAAUUCAGCACGUUUAUAUUUACAUUGAUGAGGCUGGCUUCAACCUAGCCAAAAGAAGGGGACGGGGACGGAACAUUAUUGGCCACCGUGCCAUUGUGAAUGUCCCUGGACAGCGUGGAGGGAAUAUCACCAUGUGCGCAGCCAUUAGCCAGCAAGGCGUCAUCCAUCACCAUGCCAACCUUGGUCCCUACAACACCGCCCUUCUCAUCACAUUCCUGGACACACUACAUGGCAUCCUCAUUCCAGCCAAGCAGAGGGGUGGACCAGAGCAGCCCAGGUAUGUUGUCAUCUGGGACAACGUGAGUUUCCACCGGGCUGCUCUGGUCCACAACUGGUUCAUCGACCACCCACAAUUUAUUGUUCUAUACCUCCCACCAUAUUCCCCAUUCCUAAACCCAAUUGAAGAGUUUUUUUCGGCAUGGCGAUGGAAGGUGUAUGACCGCCAUCCCCUCCCAUGCAUGCCUCUUCUCCAGGCAAUGGAGGAUGCAUGUGGUGAAGUUGAUGUGGGGGCUUUCGGCGGCUGGAUCCGUCACUCCAGAAGAUUCUUUCCCCGCUGUUUAGCCAGGGAGAACAUCGCUUGUGAUGUAGAUGAGGUGCUGUGGCCAGACCAAAAUAGGAGGCGGGAUGCAGCCUAAUUUCUUUUGUCUUACAUUUUGCAUGUGUUUUUGUCUUUUUGUGUUUAGAGUUUUGAAAGAAUGAGCCACUUUCAUUUUUUAUUUUUGUACAGAAAACCCUUUAUCUUACUGAAUGUUUUUCCUGGUUUUCUCCUGUUGGGUAUGGAAAGUGUUACAUACAAAACACAGGUGUUCAGAAAUACUGCAUUUUGGAAAUAAAUGACAAUGUUUUUGUUA